UGGGGAAUAUUGCACAAUGGGCGCAAGCCUGAUGCAGCCAUGCCGCGUGUGUGAAGAAGGCCUUUGGGUUGUAAAGCACUUUCAGCGGGGAGGAAGGCGUUAAGGAUAAUAACCUUGGCGAUUGACGUUACCCGCAGAAGAAGCACCGGCUAACUCCGUGCCAGCAGCCGCGGUAAUACGGAGGGUGCAAGCGUUAAUCGGAAUUACUGGGCGUAAAGCGCACGCAGGCGGUCUGUCAAGUCGGAUGUGAAAUCCCCGGGCUCAACCUGGGAACUGCAUUCGAAACUGGCAGGGUAGAGUCUUGUAGGGGGGGGUAGAAUUCCAGGUGUAGCGGUGAAAUGCGUAGAGAUCUGGAGGAAUACCGGUGGCGAAGGCGGCCCCCUGGACAAAGACUGACGCUCAGGUGCGAAGGCGUGGGGAGCAAACAGG
rnacentral:rRNA from 1 species